UACGGAGGAUCCGAGCGUUAUCCGGAUUUAUUGGGUUUAAAGGGUGCGCAGGCGGGGGAUUAAGUCGGCGGUGAAAUUUUGCAGCUCAACUGUAAAAGUGCCUUCGAAACUGGUUUCCUUGAGUGUAGAUGAAGUAGGCGGAAUUUGUGGUGUAGCGGUGAAAUGCAUAGAUAUCACGAGGAACUCCGAUUGCGCAGGCAGCUUACUAAACUACUACUGACGCUCAUGCACGAAGGCGUGGGGAUCAAACAGGAUUAGAUACCCGCGUAGU
rnacentral:rRNA from 1 species